rnacentral:rRNA from 1 species
GUCGAGAAUCUUCCGCAAUGCGCGAAAGCGUGACGGAGCGACGCCGCGUGAUGGAUGAAGUCCUUCGGGGCGUAAACAUCUUUUAUAAAGGAGGAAAUUUUUGACGUUACUUUAUGAAUAAGGGGCUCCCAAUCUCGUGCCAGCAGGAGCGGUAAUACGAGAGCCUCAAGCGUUAUCCGGAAUCAUUGGGCGUAAAGGGUGCGUAGGUGGUUUGAUUAGUCUCCCGUUAAAACUUCGAGCUUAACUCGAAAAGAGCGGGGGAAACGGUCAAACUAGAGUAUGUGAGAGGUGAGUGGAACUCAUGGUGUAGGGGUGAAAUCCGUUGAUAUCAUGGGGAACACCAAAAGCGAAGGCAGAACACUGGCACAUCACUGACACUGAGGCACGAAACCUAAGGUAGCGAAUGGGAUUAGAAACCCUUGUAGUCC